AUAUCAUGGAAAUCAGGACAGUGGCAGUUCGGAUUGUGGCAAUCAAAGGGGUGGAAAGUGAAUUCUAUCUUGCAAUGAACGAGGAAGGAAAACUCUAUGCAAAGAAAUGGACACACAAUGGAGGGGAAAUGUUUGUUGCCUUAAAUCAAAAGGGGAUUCCUGUAAGAGGAAAAAAAACGAAGAAAGAACAAAAAACAGCCCACUUUCUUCCUAUGGCAAUAACUUAA
rnacentral:lncRNA from 1 species